rnacentral:rRNA from 1 species
UCAGGAUGAACGCUAGCGGCAGGCUUAAUACAUGCAAGUCGUGGGGCAGCAUGAGUAGCAAUACUUGAUGGACGACCGGACAAACGGGUGAGGAACACGUACACAACCUUCCUUCAAGCGGGGAAUAGCCCAGAGAAAUUUGGAUUAAUACCCCAUAAUAUAUUUGAUAAGGCAUCUUAUUAAUAUUAAAGCUUCGGCACUUGAUGAUGGGUGUGCGGCUGAUUAGAUAGUUGGCGGGGUAACGGCCCACCAAGUCUACGAUCAGUAGCUGAUGUGAGAGCAUGAUCAGCCACACGGGCACUGAGACACGGGCCCGACUCCUACGGGAGGCAGCAGUAAGGAAUAUUGGACAAUGGACGAAAGUCUGAUCCAGCCAUGCCGCGUGAAGGAUUAAGGUCCUCUGGAUUGUAAACUUCUUUUAUAUGGGACGAAAAAAGGGGCAUUCUUGUUCACUUGACGGUACCAUAUGAAUAAGCACCGGCUAACUCCGUG